AGGGUACAGCAUACCUAGAAUCACUCUCUGAACAGAAAGCCAUUCAAGACAUGGAACAGCAGCAGCAGUGUGUAUAACUGAUGUUUUCCAAAGAAGGCAUGAUAGCUCAAGCAAUCUUCUGUGGAUACAACAGUACACCUUUCAUUCAGGAUGAAAGUCCACAACAACACUUAGCUUGGAGACUCAGUUCCACCAGUUUCUCCUGUGUUUUUGCCUCGUUGUCAGUCUCCUCAGUCACUCCACUGUCACUCACUGUCGCAAAAGCAAGAUUGCAGGAGACCGGACUCCCGCAGAUGAAGAGAAUGGGAUACGUCUGUAUGUCCGCCUGCUGCAGUCAGCUGACCCGGAUGACUGUCUGAUGGAAAGAGCACCCAACUUUCUCCUCACUGCUGUCCUGUGUUCCUGGUUCUGGACCUAUUGAAGUUGGUCUAUUUAAAAGCUAACAGUUUUGCCAGGUAUAAGAUAGUGUACUUGAUUGUACCGUACAGCGCCGGUUUUUUAUAUGUUGUUGAAAAUUGUAUGUAUAAAGGAAUAGGUGUUUGCCUUUUUUAAUUAACCAGCUGCUGGAGUGGUAAUAAUAGGAGCGCACGGUGAGGACAAAAACCUUUCUUGCAACUUUAAUUGACUGUGUUCCCCCUUUCUUUUACAGUGUGAGUUAUUUGCAAAAAAAAGUUAAAAUAAAUAUUAUAAAAAUGUUUUUGUACAACUGAUGUGUGGGGUAGGUGCCCCCACUGUCUUUCCAUAUCAUAUACAGUAAACACUGUGACUCUGCAGGCUGUACUUUACUGUGUUCACAUAAUAUACAGUAUAAGUACUGUG